UGAAGGAAUUUUGAGUUGGAAUUCAGACAAUAUGAUUAUUUAGCAGUAGUUUCAGUCCUCUGUCUCCUCCUUCAAGAUUUCUGCCAUGGGUGAAGCCUUUGAAUGAAA